UACGUAGGGUCCGAGCGUUGUCCGGAUUUAUUGGGCGUAAAGAGCUCGUAGGCGGCUCAGUUAGUCGGAUGUGAAAACUCGGGGCUCAACCCCGAGACGCCAUCCGAUACUGCUGUGGCUUGAAUCUGGUAGGGGAGCACGGAAUUCCUGGUGUAGCGGUGAAAUGCGCAGAUAUCAGGAGGAACACCGGUGGCGAAGGCGGUGCUCUGGGCCAGUAUUGACGCUGAGGAGCGAAAGCGUGGGUAGCAAACAG
rnacentral:rRNA from 1 species